rnacentral:rRNA from 2 species
CCUAAUACAUGCAAGUCGAGCGAACAGAUGAGAAGCUUGCUUCUCUGAUGUUAGCGGCGGACGGGUGAGUAACACGUGGGUAACCUACCUAUAAGACUGGGAUAACUCCGGGAAACCGGGGCUAAUACCGGAUAAUAUUUUGAACCGCAUGGUUCAAUAGUGAAAGACGGUUUCGGCUGUCACUUAUAGAUGGACCCGCGCCGUAUUAGCUAGUUGGUAAGGUAACGGCUUACCAAGGCGACGAUACGUAGCCGACCUGAGAGGGUGAUCGGCCACACUGGAACUGAGACACGGUCCAGACUCCUACGGGAGGCAGCAGUAGGGAAUCUUCCGCAAUGGGCGAAAGCCUGACGGAGCAACGCCGCGUGAGUGAUGAAGGUCUUCGGAUCGUAAAACUCUGUUGUUAGGGAAGAACAAAUUUGUUAGUAACUGAACAAGUCUUGACGGUACCUAACCAGAAAGCCACGGCUAACUACGUGCCAGCAGCCGCGGUAAUACGUAGGUGGCAAGCGUUAUCCGGAAUUAUUGGGCGUAAAGCGCGCGUAGGCGGUUUCUUAAGUCUGAUGUGAAAGCCCACGGCUCAACCGUGGAGGGUCAUUGGAAACUGGGAAACUUGAGUGCAGAAGAGGAGAGUGGAAUUCCAUGUGUAGCGGUGAAAUGCGCAGAGAUAUGGAGGAACACCAGUGGCGAA